AUGCGAUACUUGGUGUGAAUUGCAGAAUCUCGCGAACCAUUGAGUCUUUGAACGCAAGUUGUGCCCGAGGCCUUGUGGUCGAGGGCACGCCUGCUUGGGUGUCAUGGCAUCGCCGCUCUUGCUCCAUGCUUUAUUAGCAUCGAGCGCGGAAAUUGGCCCCGUGUGCCCUCGGGCACAGUCGGUCGAAGAGUGGGGUAUCCGGUAGUCGUCGAGCACGAUGGAUGUUGGUCGUCACGAGCGAGAACUGAACAUCGUCCUCGUCGUUUCGGAACGAAUCCUCAAGAGACCCAAUGCGAUUGCGGAGUCGGACGGAUGUUCCGUGUCAAUCAUUUGCGGCCCCAAGUCAGGCGAGGCCACCCGCCGAAUUUAAGCAUAUCAAUAAG
rnacentral:rRNA from 1 species